GUGCCAGCCGCCGCGGUAAUACGAAGGGAGCUAGCGUUGUUCGGAAUCACUGGGCGUAAAGCGCACGUAGGCCGAUUCGUAAGUCAGGGGUGAAAUCCCGGGGCUCAACCUCGGAACUGCCUCUGAUACUGCGAAUCUCGAGUCCGGAAGAGGUGGGUGGAAUUCCUAGUGUAGAGGUGAAAUUCGUAGAUAUUAGGAAGAACACCGGUGGCGAAGGCGGCCCACUGGUCCGGUACUGACGCUGAGGUGCGAAAGCGUGGGGAGCAAACAGGAUUAGAAACCCGAGUAGUCC
rnacentral:rRNA from 1 species